GAUGAACGCUGGCGGCGUGCUUAACACAUGCAAGUCGAACGAAGCACUCAUGACAGAUUCUUCGGAUGAUGGAUUGAUUGACUGAGUGGCGGACGGGUGAGUAACGCGUGGGUAACCUGCCUCAUACAGGGGGAUAACAGUUAGAAAUGACUGCUAAUACCGCAUAAGCGCACAGUACCGCAUGGUACGGUGUGAAAAACUCCGGUGGUAUGAGAUGGACCCGCGUCUGAUUAGCUAGUUGGUGGGUAACGGCCUACCAAGGCGACGAUCAGUAGCCGGCCUGAGAGGGUGAACGGCCACAUUGGGACUGAGACACGGGCCCAAAACUCCUACGGGAGGCAGCAGUGGGGAAUAUUGCACAAUGGGGGAAACCCUGAUGCAGCGACGCCGCGUGAGCGAUGAAG
rnacentral:rRNA from 1 species